GUCUAUGGCCAUGCUACCCUGAACAAGCCUGAUCUCGUCUGAUCUCGGAAGCUAAGCAGGGUUGGGCCUGGUUAGUACUUGGAUGGGAGACCACCUAGGAAGACCAGGUGCUGUAGGCA
rnacentral:rRNA from 1 species